rfam:Ricinus communis cultivar Hale ctg_1100012354055, whole genome shotgun sequence.
AUACUUACCUGGACGGGGUCAAUGGGCGAUCAAGAAAGUUCAUGGCCUAGGUAGUUGGUCUCCAUUGCACUUAGGAGAUGCACCUGCCUAAGGUCUCCCCAAGUGGGAGAGCCUACGUCAUAAUUUGUGAUAGUGGGGGCCUGCGUUCGCGCGGCCCCUUU